rnacentral:rRNA from 1 species
GAUUGAACGCUGGCGGCAGGCCUAACACAUGCAAGUCGAACGGUAGCACAGAGAGCUUGCUCUCGGGUGACGAGUGGCGGACGGGUGAGUAAUGUCUGGGAAACUGCCUGAUGGAGGGGGAUAACUACUGGAAACGGUAGCUAAUACCGCAUAACGUCGCAAGACCAAAGAGGGGGACCUUCGGGCCUCUUGCCAUCAGAUGUGCCCAGAUGGGAUUAGCUAGUAGGUGGGGUAACGGCUCACCUAGGCGACGAUCCCUAGCUGGUCUGAGAGGAUGACCAGCCACACUGGAACUGAGACACGGUCCAGACUCCUACGGGAGGCAGCAGUGGGGAAUAUUGCACAAUGGGCGCAAGCCUGAUGCAGCCAUGCCGCGUGUAUGAAGAAGGCCUUCGGGUUGUAAAGUACUUUCAGCGGGGAGGAAGGUGUUGUGGUUAAUAACCACAGCAAUUGACGUUACCCGCAGAAGAAGCACCGGCUAACUCC